rnacentral:rRNA from 1 species
CACGUACGCAAUCUCGCCCUUAUCGAGGGGAUAGCCAGAGUAAUUUGGAUUAACUACCGAUAGUAUUAUAAUAAGGCAUCUUGUUGUAAUUAAAGCUAUGGCGGAUAAGGAUGAGCGUGCGCAAGAUUAGCUAGUUGGUGAGGUAACGGCUCACCAAGGCGACGAUCUUUAGCUGAUGUGAGAGCAUGAUCAGCCACACGGGCACUGAGACACGGGCCCGACUCCUACGGGAGGCAGCAGUGAGGAAUAUUGGUCAAUGGACGGAAGUCUGAACCAGCCAUGCCGCAUGAAGGAUGAAGGCGUUCCGCGUUGUAAACUUCUUUUAUUUAGGAAGAAACCACCGAUUUCUAUUGGUGUUGACGGUAUUAAAUGAAUAAGCACCGGCUAACUCCGUG